rnacentral:rRNA from 1 species
GCAGCGACGCCGCGUGAGGGAUGAAGGCCUUCGGGUUGUAAACCUCUUUCAGCAGGGAAGAAGCGCAAGUGACGGUACCUGCAGAAGAAGCGCCGGCUAACUACGUGCCAGCAGCCGCGGUAAUACGUAGGGCGCAAGCGUUGUCCGGAAUUAUUGGGCGUAAAGAGCUCGUAGGCGGUUUGUCGCGUCUGGUGUGAAAACUCGAGGCUCAACCUCGAGCUUGCAUCGGGUACGGGCAGACUAGAGUGCGGUAGGGGAGACUGGAAUUCCUGGUGUAGCGGUGGAAUGCGCAGAUAUCAGGAGGAACACCGAUGGCGAAGGCAGGUCUCUGGGCCGCAACUGACGCUGAGGAGCGAAAGCAUGGGGAGCGAACAGGAUUAGAUACCCUGGUAGUCCAUGCCGUAAACGUUGGGCACUAGGUGUGGGGCUCAUUCCACGAGUUCCGUGCCGCAGCAAACGCAUUAAGUGCCCCGCCUGGGGAGUACGGCCGCAAGGCUAAAACUCAAAGGAAUUGACGGGGGCCCGCACAAGCGGCGGAGCAUGCGGAUUAAUUCGAUGCAACGCGAAGAACCUUACCAAGGCUUGACA